UUCAGUUGAAAUGCUUUGCUCUGUGAUCACGUCAGUCUAGGUGGUUUUAUAGCGGGGAGUUGAGGGAAAGUUAUUUUAAGAAACUGACAUUUUAAUGGUACUUUUCCCCUCUAGCAUGAACUGCAAUGAGGUAACUGGCUGAAAACGAAUCCUCCAGAAGGACCGCAAUGAGUGAUGCCUGUGUUGGCCUUAACGGACAGCACUGAUCCUAUGGUUGUGGAUUUUGUUAAGGGUACUUACAUUUCCAGUUUCUUGAAGAAAUUAGUGAUCCAAGUUGGUAAGGUUUUUAGUAGCCUCUCACCCAUGCUUCUCUCCCCUUGAUUUUACAGUAAAAUGCUGUUGCGAUUCUCUUGCUCUAGCAAAACUGCUCUUAUCAAGAUGAGCCUUCAGCCAGCCUGGACGCACUCAAUGAGCAACUCCCGCUGUCUCCACAGGCGUUCCACAGCAGCCAGCUCCGGGCCGUGCUGACACUCACACGGUGAGGCGGCCUGGCCACUCCUCUGCUGAAAGCCUCCAGUGCCUCUCUUCCCCUCAGUAGGGGUGUAGAUGGUCUCUCCUUCCUCUUUAUUUAUAAUCACCUCCCUGGAGAGGCUUCUAUGACACCCGACAGCAGAGAGCUCUUCACGGCCUACUCAUUUCACCGCCACCUUUACCGGGUUUUAGGUUUCUUUUUCCAUGGCACUUAACCCCCUCUGAUUCCCUAAGUGGGAAAAGAUUCCCCUAUGCUGUAUGUUUUAAUGCCAUCUCUUACUUUUGUUUUAUUGAAGGGUCAGGAUUUGAACUCAGGUAGUCUCUGUAAGUAUUAUACCAUAAACCAAAGAUUCAGAGGAUGUAAAUGUGGUAUUACUGGACCCCAUCCUUAACGCUGUGCAUGUAU
rnacentral:lncRNA from 1 species